rnacentral:tRNA from 1 species
UGGGGGAUCGUCUAACGGCAGGACGGCAGACUCUGGAUCUGUCUAUCGGGGUUCGAAUCCCUGUCCCCCAG